rnacentral:rRNA from 1 species
GACGAACCGUGCGAACGUUGUUCGGAAUCACUGGGCUUAAAGGGCGCGUAGGCGGGCUGACAAGUCUGGGGUGAAAUGCCGCGGCUCAACCGUGGAACUGCCUUAGAUACUGUCGGCCUCGAGGAAGGUAGGGGCAUGCGGAACUGUAGGUGGAGCGGUGAAAUGCGUUGAUAUCUACAGGAACUCCGGUGGCGAAAGCGGCGUGCUGGACCUUAUCUGACGCUGAGGCGCGAAAGCUAGGGGAGCAAACGGG